rnacentral:rRNA from 1 species
AUUGAACGCUGGCGGCAGGCCUAACACAUGCAAGUCGAGCGGAUGAAGGGAGCUUGCUCCUGGAUUCAGCGGCGGACGGGUGAGUAAUGCCUAGGAAUCUGCCUGGUAGUGGGGGAUAACGUCCGGAAACGGGCGCUAAUACCGCAUACGUCCUGAGGGAGAAAGUGGGGGAUCUUCGGACCUCACGCUAUCAGAUGAGCCUAGGUCGGAUUAGCUAGUUGGUGGGGUAAAGGCCUACCAAGGCGACGAUCCGUAACUGGUCUGAGAGGAUGAUCAGUCACACUGGAAAUGAGAAACGGUCCAGACUCCUACGGGAGGCAGCAGUGGGGAAUAUUGGACAAUGGGCGAAAGCCUGAUCCAGCCAUGCCGCGUGUGUGAAGAAGGUCUUCGGAUUGUAAAGCACUUUAAGUUGGGAGGAAGGGCAGUAAGUUAAUACCUUGCUGUUUUGACGUUACCAACAGAAUAAGCACCGGCUAACUUCGUG